UAGGCCGAUCAUUACCAUACGAUUCUCUGCGUUUCGAGUAUCCUCGAUCUAACUUAACCAAAAAAAAAAAAAAAAAAACAAAAAAAAAAAAAGAAAGAAAGAUACGGCCGGUACUAUACGACGUGGUGUGCGCAAAUCACUGAAAACUUUCUCACACUAGGCGUCACUGGCACUGAAGAGGCGUCGUUCGCGCGGUGAAUCAAACGCCAUUUCAAACUGUACCGCACGAAGAAUCUCCACGAGUAACUUCACAAUAUGACAGAUCUAACUGCGAGAGAGCCUAAUCAAGAUAACGUCCCAUCGACAUCUCGGGACUAGCAAUGGAGCACCGUUGCGAUGCUGCGAGAGUGACAAAACGCACUGCUCUCAAGCGAGGAACACGAACGUUGCCACACACACUACUUGCCUCCGCGAUCACCAACGUACAACGUUCUCGCGCGUACGGUAAACCGUGACUCCAGCUCUCUACACUCGCUUCUCCGACUUGCUUCCAGUCAGGAAGAAAACAGACAGACAGGUACAGAAAGAGGGAGAGAAACUCACGUUCACAAAUACAGGCGACGAGCACUGACGACGCGCUACGCUGAAACGUGUACGUACAAAGGGGAUGGAGCGAGACGGAGAAUGCACGAGAAGCACGCGCGCGCGCACUCUACAGGCGCACAGUGUUUCUAACAAGCCGGCAUACACGUGCGCCAGGAAAUGUGCGUGAGAGAAAGAAAGGAGGCAAGAGGGAAGGAAAACGAACGAGAGAGGGGAAUGUGGAGAACACGUUACACAGCCAUAUGCGAGAAGGAGGCACCAAGUAUUAGUGUUUUAUAUAUAUGAACGUGUAUAUAGCGUGUUUGUAACGCGUUUCCUUCGGCUGUUCCCGCUUAUCGCGUCUUCUUCACGCCGAGACAAGAGGCGACUUUGACGUGUCACGUUCACCACGUACUCCGAUACUCUUCUCGAGGAAGUAGCGCAUAUUGGAGUGAAAAAUCGUGGAAAAUCGAUCGUGAAACGAAGGGGCGCGCCAAUGGCGACGACCGAAACGGCGUGGCAAUCCCUCCCUUUGGUUUGCCUAUCUCUUUCUUCCUCUUCCCUCGUUCUAUCUUCCUUCUUCUUUGUUCGUUUCCCUCUCUGUUUAUCCACCGACGUUUCCGACCAUCUCUUUUCUUCUCCCGCAACCCCUAACUCUUCCCCUCUUUCUCUUUAUUUUUUUGCCUGUGCUCCCCACCACGUUACAGACUUUCUUUCUCUCGCUUACGGGCUAUCCGUUCUUGUUUCUCAUCGCUGUCUCUUCGAUCCUCGUUGCUCCGCCGAUUCUCCGCGCACUGCCUCUCUUAUCACGGUCCCUGCCCUGUACCAACGUGUAUGGAUUUUCAGAGAAGCGAAAAUUCGUACAAACCGAUCGGCGAACGUGAAGCAAAGGCGAAGACGGGGAUUAGGCCCGUAUGAAUCACGAAACGGCAACGACAGAUCACUGAAAACCGUGCCGACGACCAUGAAAAUCUCGACCGUACCCUCUCUUGAGAGAGAGCAAAGCACCGUCGACGGCACAGAACGAUGGUUACUUAUGGACGUGGUGAAGAGCAGCUGUAAACCUGCUGGCGAGUGGGCUUUCAGGGACGUAAAGUUCGAUCUUCGUACCACGUGGCCUGUAACUGUCAUUGUCAAAAACGUGAUCCGAGUGCCGAGUAUUCGGUCGUGAUGCGACGAUGGCGUCUUUCACCAGUCGAUAAGAAUCUGUGGCGACGAUGCAUGAUGAUAUCAUUAGAGUACCAUCGGCGCUACGAUCGUCGCAUCGAUUUUGGAGCAGAUGUCGCCUCCCUUCAAGAUACUUUCCUUUAAUAAAUAACUGAUCUCGCUGCAACAUUCAAUUAGAGACAAUGUAGAAUGGUCAUUUAAAAUCAUUCGAUGUAUUCUUUCAAUGUCAGCUACGUAUGCUAAAGGAAAUCGCAAAGAACAAAACCAAGUUCCAAGUAAUCGGGAUCCUGAUAAUGAAUAAUCCGUUGAGUAAUUACGUAUCUGAGCGGCUGCGAUAGUAGUUGAAACUGCAUUAUAAUACCAAAGGUGUGCGAGAGAGAAUUUAGAAGGAAUAAUAGAGAAAUAGGAGAACGGAACGGAGCAAAGGAAACAUAUCUACUUGUUGGUGAAUUCAUCAGUAACACUACCUAGCAGAUCGUAUUUUAGGCAGGGAUAAUGGAGUCAGGUCAAAGAUCGUAUUGUAGGUAUUGGACAGCUGGGAGGAAUGGAGGGAAUAACUUCUGCAAAUGGUUCCAAGACCUAAAAUUCAGCGAGAGCAAAUGCGACGUGUGACAGCCACGAGAAAGAGGGACAAAACUGAAGACCGUAAGGAAAUCAGGGACGUAGUUAGAAACGAAUGGACCAUCAAGAAAGGCAUAUAAAGAUACGAUCGUCUCCGAAAUAACCACGAUUUGCAUAAACUUUACGAAACGUGGAAUUCAUGCAUACGCUCUGGGAAAAAGCGACUGAUAUAUGGUGAAUUCAAAUAAUAUUAACUGCGUCAGUUACUGAAAGAUUGUACGCUAUCUUCUGAAUGUUACGUUAGCAAGUGUUAUCUGCCUCCCGCAUAAUCAUUGCGCUCGACAGAUAGAGACGGCUCAAAGAAAGGCACUGGUUUAGAGUGCAUAAUUAAAUUAUUCUAUCGUCAACCGAAUGGCUAUAGAAUGUCAUAAAAUGAUGCGUGAUGGGACACGCUUUUAUUACUUUACGAAGUGUAUCUUUUUUACGUGGUAAAGAUAAAAAAGUUACGAUUUUGAUACGAGGUCUAUAAACCACGAACGAGGGUUUAUCAAAUUCUUAACACCCGGCUGUAAAGCAAAAACUUGAUAGCAUCUAGUGAAAGGCCAAUCAACUUUAGCGACAUUCUCAUUUAAUUCUGAUUAAAAACGUUCUACAUUUUA